GGGUNAACGGCCACAUUGGGACUGAGACACGGCCCAAACUCCUACGGGAGGCAGCAG
rnacentral:rRNA from 1 species